GCUGGGCGUGGUGGCGCAUGCCUGUAAUCCCAGCUCCUCGGGAGGCUUAGGCAGGAGAAUCGCUUGAACCAGGGAGUCGGAGGUUGCAGUGAGCCAAGAUCAUGCCACUGCACUCCACCCUGGCAACAGAGCGAGACUCCGUCUCAA
rfam:Gorilla gorilla gorilla genomic chromosome, chr5, whole genome shotgun sequence